CUUUCACAGAUACUGAUUCCUAAUAACUAUACCCCAAACUUCAUCCUAACAUUUGCUUUUGAAGAACCAAACCUAGGAGAGUCAGUAGUAGAAACAGUAAGCAGAUAACAAGAUGGGACUUUGUAGCUGAAUCACUAUAGACUGCCUGGCAGGCAAUGAGGACCCCAUUACUGGUAGCACAUGGAACACAUAGACCCUAGCACAAGGUGGCAGUCCAGUUGUUAAAGCUAGCAGCAUGGCCCAGAUGAGGAUAUGCUUGAAGAGGGAAGAAAAGGAUUAUUACACAAAAAGCUGCAAAGCACAGCCAUGGCAGAAAGAGCCAUGGAAGGGGCUAGUGGCAACACAGACGCGUACAUUCUAAGAUACAUCGCAGACUUCUGGCAAGCAUUAAUCAACAGUAAGGACACUCUGAUAAUGUUACUAUGGCAACCCUGGGAACAGACAAGAUGGAAAUGGAAAAGACUCUCAACACUGAUAAGAGGAUACACCUCAGGAAAUGCAGCACUUGUACCUCAUUCCGAGGACCAAGAGCUACCCAGGCUUAUAGUUCCUUUUCCUCUCACACAUUUGAGGUGUGUAUGAUUGCCCUGAAUGAAAGCCAAGGUAUGUCGGGCACCUUAAUGUAUAAAAGUUACACCUUCUAUUUCCAACAGUAUUUUAUGCCAUUUCAGUCAUAUAGGACCAAGGCCUGGAUGCAAGCUUACAUUUCCACCAGUCCAGAGUAGUUGCCCAAAUUGGGAUAUUCAUGGCGCAAGCAUAACCACGUAGUCCAUAUUGACCUUAACUUUAUAGUUUCCAAAGAGAACUCAGCUGUCAGGCAGGCUUGGAC
rnacentral:lncRNA from 1 species